rnacentral:rRNA from 1 species
UACGUAGGGUGCAAGCGUUAAUCGGAAUUACUGGGCGUAAAGCGUGCGCAGGCGGUUGGGUAAGACAGAUGUGAAAGCCCCAGGCUUAACCUGGGAAGUGCUUUUGAUACUGCAGAGCUUGAAUGUGGGAGAGGGUAGUGGAAUUCCAGGUGUAGUGGUGAAAUACGUAGAUAUCUGGAGGAACACCGGUGGCGAAGGCGGCUACCUGGCCCAACAUUGACACUGAGACACGAAAGCGUGGGGAUCAAACAGG